GUUUGAAAUGAUAUCCCCCACCCCUAAUUGUGUAAGUAAAGAUAACAAUAAUAAGUUAAUCAAACACAUUACAAAAUUUCAGGGUAAAGGAUGAUACUUGGUAGCUUUUUGAAGUACAGAAUGCGAAUGCCAUGUCUCUAAUACAAUGUACAAGAUUUGGAGUAGCUUGUUUUACCCGCUUUCGUUGAGUUGAUAAUAAGUUGACAUUUGGAUUAACUCAAGAGACUUGUGGCCUUGUGAGUUGGUCUGUGAUGCAUCAGAAGCUGAAAGAUACCGUCGUCAGUUACCACAACGUAAUCGUAU
rnacentral:misc_RNA from 1 species